UACGUAGGGUGCGAGCGUUAAUCGGAAUUACUGGGCGUAAAGCGUGCGCAGGCGGUUUGAUAAGAUAGGCGUGAAAUCCCCGGGCUCAACCUGGGAACUGCGCUUAUGACUGUCUCACUAGAGUACGGCAGAGGGGGGUGGAAUUCCACGUGUAGCAGUGAAAUGCGUAGAGAUGUGGAGGAACACCGAUGGCGAAGGCAGCCCCCUGGGCCGAUACUGACGCUCAUGCACGAAAGCGUGGGUAGCAAACAGG
rnacentral:rRNA from 1 species